CCUUACCUACUCUUGACAUCCACGGAAUUUAGCAGAGAUGCUUUAGUGCCUUCGGGAACUGUGAGACAGGUGCUGCAUGGCGGUCGUCAGCUCGUGUUGUGAAAUGUUGGGUUAAGUCCCGCAACGAGCGCAACCCUUAUCCUUUGUUGCCAGCGGUUCGGCCGGGAACUCAAAGGAGACUGCCAGUGAUAAACUGGAGGAAGGUGGGGAUGACGUCAAGUCAUCAUGGCCCUUACGAGUAGGGCUACACACGUGCUACAAUGGCAUAUACAAAGAGAAGCGACCUCGCGAGAGCAAGCGGACCUCAUAAAGUAUGUCGUAGUCCGGAUCGGAGUCUGCAACUCGACUCC
rnacentral:rRNA from 1 species